CUAUGGUGGGAGAAUUGGAUUCUGAUGAUGCCAGGUUCCUGUGCCACUUCCUCAGAGAAGGCAGAGCUGAAGAGGGGCAUCUGGCCUUGAAGACUCUCUCAUUUGGGUAUUUUCUGAGAAAUGAAGAAGUUCCAAGCAAGGACUUGAAGUCCUCCAGCAAUUGUACUGGAGGAUGGAGCCACCAACGCGUGGGCGUGGGCGUCACAGCACGAGACGUCAAGUCAGAGUAGGAUCCUCCCUCUGGGCUCUGAGGGAGCCUGGCUGGCCUGCAUUGAGGCAAGAGUGCCCUGUAGCCUCCACAGGGAUCUGCAGAGAUCAUUACAGCGAGUCUCCAUUACUCUCAUUCCACGGCCCAGGCAAAGCCCACCAUGUAACAGAGGUCAGCUGGCUUUAAUGGAAGUCCCUCCCCAUUUCCUUCUGUAAUACAUAAUAAUGUAUUAUUACUAUAA